rnacentral:rRNA from 1 species
AACGCGAAGAACCUUACCAAAUCUUGACAUCCCGAUGACAGACUGUGUAAAGCAGUUUCUCUUCGGAGCAUCGGUGACAGGUGGUGCAUGGUUGUCGUCAGCUCGUGUCGUGAGAUGUUGGGUUAAGUCCCGCAACGAGCGCAACCCUUGUCUUUAGUAGCCAGCAUUUAGGAUGGGCACUCUAGAGAGACUGCCAGGGAUAACCUGGAGGAAGGUGGGGAUGACGUCAAAUCAUCAUGCCCCUUAUGAUUUGGGCUACACACGUGCUACAAUGGCGUAAACAAAGAGAAGCAAAGGAGUGAUCCGGAGCAAAUCUCAAAAAUAACGUCUCAGUUCGGAUUGUAGUCUGCAACUCGACUACAUGAAGCUGGAAUCGCUAGUAAUCGCGAAUCAGAAUGUCACGGUGAAUACGUUCCCGGGUCUUGUACACACGC